AAUGGCAGAACAAUGGACGAACAGCGCCCAGAGCCCGGCAACUUAACGAUGGCAGUUAGUUGGCGCAGUGGCUGCAAGUCGGAUGUGGCUCAUUUCUUCCAUCAGCCUCCUCAUCUCAUCUUCCACGACGCAGCCAAUCAGCGGUGUCCCUGGCUGACGCGCUAGCUGUUUUGAAACUGGUCCUGCCCGAUUGGAACGUGCCCCUGGCGACGCUAGUCCGGAUUGAGGUUGGAUCCAGGUACCACCGCCGCAUACGGUUUGGCGUGGAAUUGGAAGCAUCUGGAAGGAUUUCCCGAUCGAGGAGAAGGAGAGAAAGAGAG
rnacentral:sRNA from 2 species